rnacentral:rRNA from 1 species
UAGGGAAUAUUGCACAAUGGGGGAAACCCUGAUGCAGCGACGCCGCGUGAGUGAUGAAGGCCUUCGGGUCGUAAAGCUCUGUCGUAUGGGACUAACACAAUGAAGGUACCAUGCAAGAAAGGAUCGGCUAACUUCGUGCCAGCAGCCGCGGUAAGACGAGGGAUCCUAGCGUUGUUCGGAAUUAUUGGGCGUAAAGCGGGUGUAGGCGGCUUUAUAAGUCAGGUGUGAAAUCCCAGAGCUCAACUCUGGAAGUGCACUUGAUACUGUUUAGCUUGAGUGUGGUAGAGGCUAUUGGAAUUCCUGGUGUAGUGGUAAAAUACGUAGAUAUCAGGAGGAAUACCGGAGGCGAAGGCGGAUAGCUGGGCCAACACUGACGCUGAGAUCCGAAAGCGUGGGGAUCAAACAGG